ensembl:lncRNA
GGCCUUUCAGGUUAUGUCGAUAUAGGAUUCGUUGUAGUGUGGAUAUAGAUACUUUUGUAUCUGUUUCCUCCAGCAUCUUCACAAAGUACUUUGCUGUUGUUCUGGGAUUGAUUUGCACUUUUCGCACCAAAGUACGUUCAUCUCCUUCCAGAACGCAUCUCCUUCCUGAGCGGUAUGACGGCUGCGUGGUCCCAUGGUGUUUAUACUUGCGUACUAUUGUUCGUACAGAUGAACAUGGUACCUUCAGGCGUUUGGAAAUUGCUCCCAAGGAUGAACCAGACUUAUGGAGGUCUCCAAUAUUUUUUCUGAGGUCUUGGCUGAUUUCUUUUGAUUUUCCCAUGAUGUCAAACAAAGAGGCACUGAGUUUGAAGGUUGUAAAGUUAAGCAACUUAGAGCAGAAAAACAAACAUCGUCAAGGGUCUGAAGCACCCAGAGACCCAGGAAGGAAUCCGAGGAGCCGGCCAGGAGCCACCUGCCACAUGGAGUCCAUCCAUCUACAAAACACAGGGCUGUCUAAGGCAUCACAAUAACAUGAGUUUUGAACAAUUACCUUUUCUUUUUAUUAAGAUCUAGGGUAGACCCAUUUGUCACAUAUUUGUGUUUAUUGAACAGGACAGAGGUAUCGAGGAAAGAGAAAGGAGAGAAUUUCUGAAAGAGCUCUAAUAGGCUGAGUCAGAAGCUCAGACUGCUAGACUACUCUAGGGCCCAAACAAUUACAAUUAUCUGCCUAUGUUUAGAACUCGGGAGGCCCAGAGAUUAUCAGGUAUAAUUAUGAAAUAACCUCCAGCACAACUACUCUGUCUCUCGAAAACGUGAACUUCGAGACCAGGGGUAUUCAACUCACAUUACGAGGUCCGGAACGUGCUGAUUUUCUGUUCUACCUGAUAAUGAAUUGCACCCACCUGGUAUCCCAGGUCUAAAUCAGCCCCUGAUUAGAGGGGAACAAUGAAAACAUAUAGUGGAACUGGCUUCGGGGCCCAGAGUUGAGUUUGAGGGUUUAGACCAAACAAGUUAGUCCUAAUUACUGAAUGGAUUAAUACAGUAGAGAUGCCAUUGAAUGAAUCAUAAGAACUCACUAACCCCACCAACUAUGACUACGGUAUCACUGGUCCCCAGAGCACACUAACUAAAAGACGACAGCCUGUCUGCCAGGUACAGAACAGCUGUUUGUUGCCAUGCAGAAUACAAGAUGUACAGACCACCAGGGAGCUAGUUUAUUCCUGUAUACUCCUGUUAUCAUCUCACCCUACACUGUGAGUCACUCUAAUCAUUACGUCUGUUGGAGACAUGGUUUCUUCUCCUGCUUUAGCUACUGUACAUGAUCAAUAUAUUUAUGUUGGGUACAUGCUCUCUCUUCUAGCUACUCUAUAGCCAUUGUCAGGUAUACAACACUAAUGAUCUAGGUAGAGGAGGAAUUGGCCUCCUAUGUGAUAUAAAUAUCCUGAACACAGCUAGUUACUGAGGAGGAGAUUUCAAUCAUUAUUCCGAUUGGCUCCGUUUUAAUAUUGACACAGUACCUUCUCAUCAGUGAACUCAAAACCAGUCUUUUCCUUUUCUAUUGCUCCAUCUCUCAUCUCAUAGUCGGUUUCUCUUUCCUUCGCUCGGUCUUUUAACCUUUUACUUUCUUUUUCAUGCUUUCUUCAUGUUUUUAUCGUUGUUUUGAUAAGCCUCAAUUUCUCCAUUUCUAACCUGGAAGUUUCUAUCUGUCUCAGUCAGUUCCCCCCUACUCCUCUCUCCCUCCCUCCUUCCUCUCUUCCUCCCUCCUCCUUCUCUCCUCUCCUCCAUGACAGUACUAUUGGUCAGAUGGACGUAUGGCAUUGAUGUCAGAAACAUGCGUCAGAGACUCAGGAGCACAUUUACAAUCCCCUUAACUCGCACUCGCCUCAGGAUCCUUACUCACUAAUCAAAUCAGCGUACUGUGUUUGUUUGUGUGUGUGUAUGAAUCAGUGGAGGCUCCUCAAAAGAGGAAGGGGAGGACCAUCUUCGUCAGUG